GCCGCGCCCGCGCCGGGCUAAAUCGACGUGGUCCGCGGCCCGCGGCUCCCCGCUGGCGCACGCGGCCCGGGUCUGCAGCGCCGCGCGGAGGAGGAGCUCCAGCGACCACCGAGCACCUAGAUGCCUUUUGCUCGAGUCCAUCGCUGCUUCCUCCCAUCACUGCCUCGCACUAUGGGGCACUCACGUCGUGUCCCUCGACUGCCGGGCAGGGGCCAGGUCUAUUCGUCCUGUCAUGCGGCACGGGGAGUGGGGACAGGAAGUGUGGACCCUCAGCGAUCCGGUGUGGAACCGGGCACCCGCUUUCUGCCGGUGAAGAAAAUGAGGCGUAGAGAGCAGGCAGUAGACUUAGGAGUUGGAGUGUGAUAGGGCCAGGACUGAGUCUUGCUGAUCAAGACUUGGGUACCAUCCAACCCCGUCCAGCGUGUGUGUGUGUGUGUGUGUGUGUGUGUGUGUGUGUGUUGAUACCGGGUGUUGAACCCAGGGGCGCUUUAACUAUUGAGCCACGCCUCCAGUUCUUUUUAAAUUAUUUUUUUUGAGACAGGGUCUCGCUAAAUUGCUGGCUUUUGAACUUCUGAUUCUCCUGCCUCAGCCUCCCUAGUCGGUGCAAUCACAGGCUUGUGCCACCCCAUCCCGUUUUACAGAGGCCACAGGACCUAGGAAAUGGACCCGAUUAAAUGCAGAGGCAGAUACGGGAACGGCAAACCUUAAGCCAAAACAUUAAAGACAUUUGGAAAAUGUCAACAGUAUUGAUCUUAGUGAAUUUCUUGUUUUAAAGAAAUUGGUUUUCUUCUCUGUGUGUGUGUGUGUGUGUGUGUGUGUGUGUGUGUGAUUAACUUAGGGCUGCUUUAUCACCGAGCUACACCCUAGCCCCUUUUAUUUUUGAAACAAGUUCUUACUAAAUUGCCCAGGCUGGCCUCCAACUCCCCAUCCGCCUGCCUUAGCCUCCAGAGUUGCUGGGAUGAUAGGUGAGCAUCACCAUGAUCAGUGCCAGGAAACUGUUUUUCAAAAGUUUCUGAGUUUCAGUUUUAAAAACCGUAUAUUCUGAUAUAACUUACUAAACAAAAACUCUUUGGGUCUUCAAUAAGUUUUAAGAGUGUGAAGUGGUACUAAGACCAAGAAGUUUGAGAACCACUGUCUAGCUCAACUUAUAUCUGAGAGAUGACUCGCUGAGUCCCAGGGUGACAGAGCUACUGGAGAACAGCCUCUUGGAGACAGCUUGCUCUCCCAGGUUCCCUUCAUUCACAUCUGGGAUUCAGACACAGAUGCAUGUGGUAGGGCAGUAAGUUAUCACAGAUGUCAGAUCAGAUGCUGGACUUUAGUUCUUGGAGACUGCCUGAUUAAGAGGGGAAAGAAUGGGUUUGGGUGUCACGCUGAUAGCUCAUUCUGGUUCCAUUCAUUUCAUAUAUAUAUAUAUAUAUAUAUAUAUAUAUAUGUUUAGUUGUUGAUAGACCUUUAUUUUAUUUAUUUAUAUGUGUGCAGAGAACCAAACCUAGUGCCUCACACAUGCCAGGUAAGUGUGCUACCGCUGAGCCACAGCCCCAGCCCUCCAUUCAUUUCUAGCUGUGUGAUUUGGGAAAGUUUUUGAAAGUUUGUUUUGUUGGUGCUGGGGAUUGACCCAGGGUACUGGGUAUGCACACACUGUACCACUGAACUUCAUCCCCAGGGGCAAAUUAUUGAGUCCUUCCGUAAGAGAAUUGAUACAACCUCACCUGGUAGCUGGAAGUUUAAAUUAAGCAAAUGGGACCUUGUGCCUGACAUUUGGUACUUGUAUAUUAGCUUCUAUUGUUGAGGCCCAGAGCACCAACCCCACAAAUCCGGCACCUUGGUGUGCUGAAUACUUUGGACUGAAGAAACCGAAAAGGCCUGAUCAAGGUCUUUCUGAUCUCAGGUCUUCCUGUCUCACCUCUCUUACUCCUUUGGAGGGAAUUCUGCAAACCAGAAUUCCUCUUCCCUAAAGUGGGUCAUAGAGACUAGAACCCCACUUCCCUAAAGCCAGCCAUAAAAUCCUAGAAAUAUUACUCAAAUCUACUUUUUUUUUUUUUUUUUGGUGUUUUGGGAAUUGAACUCACACAUGCUAGGCAAGCACUCUACCACUCAAGUACCCCCCAAGCCUGGUUCUUCUACCUUUUGGGGCAAGAACUGACCAUAAAGGAAUUCCACAGCCUACCUUGUCUGAUAGCCCCUCAUUUCAGAGGGGCCCUGACCCAUACCCUGGGGAAAGAAGGAGUGCUGUGCAGAAAAGCCUAGAAAGAAGCUGGGCAGGGCUUGCUGAGUCCCCCUCUCAGUCUGUCACCGCUAGGUUAGACUCUCUGUGCAACCACUUUUCUUCAUGGCUGUCCAUUCCUCACUGGACCUAAGCAUAAAAAUAACCAGUUUUCCAGGGUCUUUGGAAUCUUCAUUUCUGAAGGCUCCUGUGUUGUGUAAAACUUGGCUUAAAUAAAUCUGUUAUGCUUUUGUCUUGUGAACCAAUGAUUCGUUACAGGAGGUAUUCGCUGUGACCCUCAUGGUGGGUGAGGAGAGGGACCAUCCUUUCUUAUCCCCAUUCUCUUUUUAAAGGAUAGUACUCAGAAUGAAGGGACAUAUGCUGGGUAUGGUGGUACAUGCCAUCAAUCCCAGGGACUCCGGAGGCUGAGGCAGGAGGAUGACAAGUUUGAGGCCAGCUUCAGCAACUUAGUGAGACCCUGUCUCAGACUAAAAAUAAAUAAAUAAAAAGUGAUGGGGAUUUAGCUCAGUGAGGGAGUGCUCCUGGGCACUCCCUGGUACCACACACGCAAAAAAAAAAAAAAAAAAAAAAAAAAAAUAGAGGAGACACAAAUUACAUUGGGAAGAAAAUUCUCCCAGCUUCCUUUGAAACCUUCCAGAGAAAGAGGUAAAAGCAUGGCUCUGCAGAAGGCUCCUAAGUGGUUCCCAGAGCUUGUGCUGAGCUGGGGACACAUGGCUCCAUCAUCUGUUUUCUACUGGAAAAAACAACAUUCCCAUUUGACGAUGGCAGAGCCAGGCACCCCUCACCCCCCAUCACUGCCUCUCCCCUCACUCACUGCCGCUUCUGUGUUCCCUUGGGAGUGGGGUGUCCAGCAUGUCCUGUUACAAAUAUCCAUGUUUUUUAGUUUGUUUGCUUUCAGAUGGGAUCUGGCAGUGUUGCCCAGGCUGGCCUGGAACCCCUGGGCUCCACAGAUUGCCUCCACCUCCUGAGUCACUGGGACUACAAGCAUGCACCACCACUCAGGUAAGCCCCUGGAGACAGCAAUGUUUGCAGAGGGACUAAGAUGAUCUCAACAGGAUCUUACCAAGUUGCUGAAGCUGGCCUUAAACUCACAGUGCUCCCUGGCAGAGGCACUCCUGAGGCUCCAUUCUAGACCCUUCUCUAAGUUUGGAAUGAGACCUCAGACCUGGGUGGGCCAGUUGCCUUCUCCUCCUCAGGACCUCUGCUGCCUUCAGGGAUUACACUGGACUGACCUCACCUGGAAGAUCAUGAAACAGGCCGUCCCAGGCCCUACCAAGACCACCUCAAUCAGAAUCUGCAUUUUGGAAUGGUGAUCCCAGGUGAUUCUGGUGCUUACUAAAGUUCCAGAGGUGCUACUCCAAAUCCUUGAAAACUGAGUUUCAGUAUCAGAAAACCCAUUUUCCCUCAGACAUAAGUUGCAUCCUCUAAUAGCAGUUUUAUCACUAAUAAAGGUGAUAUUUUGGUCUCCAAUUGGCCUUAUCUCACUUGGUUCUGAAACUGGGAAAUAGUGAUAUGAUUGGCUCCCCCAAACUUCCUCCACCUUCCUGUUGCUGAAACCUAUGGUUCGCUGCUUCAGUUUAUCGGCUGCACUGGACACAGUGAUGGCAUCCUGCAUCUUCCAACACUUAGUGGCCACCUGUGGGAGACCAACCUUGCACUUGACUGAGUCACAUUCCCCAGCUGGGUGCUGAGGCGCUCAGUCAUAGAAAUGUGGCAGAGCUUUCCCCACCCUUCUUGGGUUCGAGGGUCGGUGUCUUGUGCAUGGGUGUGUCUUGCUACAGCCCCAUGAGUGGAGCUACGCUCACCUGUUCCUUUGUAAUAUAAUCCCUUGCCCUGUUUAGGAUAGAAUCUUCCAUGGAAGUGCCUUGUGUGUGUCCCCUUCUCUUACUGUGUCCUUGGGUGUGGCCUACCCAGGUGUCAGUCAACCUGCUGACAGUGGACAUCAUGAAGAUAGACUCAGCCCCCUGAAACCUGCCCCCUUGCCUCAUUUGAACAGCUUCUCCACAAUAAAAGGGGUCAGCGUGUGCUCUCGUUCUCUCUUCCUAUGGACCUUUAAGGUCAGAGGAGCUGUCACAGCAAAAAAGGUAUUUGUGUCUCUUGUGUGGUUAUUUUGCACAGCCCAAUUAGCCCAGUUCAACUGGAGUGACCCCUGAACCUUUUAGUCGCGAGAACAGAAACCCGGCAGCUACCUGUCACUCUUUAUGGCCACGCCUCUUCCUCUUUGCUGGACCAGUCUUCUCUCCCUGACUUCUACAUGCUGGAGUGCUCUGGACUCUCCCCAUGUUUCCAGCCUCUACCUUCCUUCGUCAAAGACCCUCUUUGAAUACAACCAGUUUACCCAACUGUCCUGCAGAGUACACAUUCAGGUGGAAGUGCUGGCAUCUCAAAACAAACACGACCAACCCGACAGCUGUUCUUCUACCAUUUUCUUCAUCUUGGGAAAUUGCAAUGCUGUUCUUUUUGCCCAGGCACGCAUCUUGUGAACUACUUUCCUCCUUUCUUUCUGACUCCACAAAAAGGCUCUGAGUAAAUGUUGGUUCCGACUUGACAAUGCUGGUGUCUCCAGACCCGUCCUGCUCUGACCUUGGUCUAGGCCACCAUCAUCUCCCCUGGAAUACUCCUAGUUUGUUCCUUUCCUACUUUUGUCCCUCAACCCCCAGCAAGCUAUCUUCCACUCGGCAGUCAGAAUGGUCUUUUAAAAACACAAAUAAUAGGACCUGCCUCCUCAUCUCAGAAACCUUCACUUGCUUCCCAUUUCACUCUAAUAAAGACCCAAGUCCAUCCUAAGCCCUGACCCCUGGGACGUCCCCAUCACUCCCCUAGUACUCAUUCCACACCAGCAAUCUUGCUACUUCUGGAACCUACUUAGGACACUGUUAACCCUGGGGCUUAAUUUUUCUGCUUGAGACCUCCUUGCCCAGGGAUCUGGCGAUUCAGGAUUCUGCUUAUACGCCAUCUCCCAGGAGAGCCUUUCCUUUCUGCAUGGUGUAAGCAGAGGCCUCCUCCCCAUCCCUCUCAUUUUCCACUUGGCUUUACUGUCCACUGUGACCCUUACUGCUUGACAUUGUGAAUGUUUUGCAGAUACUGUCCCCCACUGGAACAGAGGCCACAGGUGCUUGCUCCGUGUGCUGCAGAAUCACUGGCCGCCACACUGUAUCAGCACAGGAUCCCCAUUCUCAAGUGCUGCUCAUAGGAGAGCUUGUUAAAGUAAACUGACAUGUUGAUAUUUUUUCAAAUCCUCUUCCCGACAAAGAAAAAACAAACAAAAACCAACACUCAACAUAACACUAGUACAUCAUUGGUAGUUAUAUACAAAGAAAGGCUUCAGUUGGGCAGUGGCACACAACUGUAAUCCCAGCAAUGUGGGAGGCCGAGGCAGGAGAAUUGCAAGUUUAAGGUCAACUCAGCAAGACCCUGUCCUAAUAAAAAACAAAUAGAAAAAGACUGGGUAUGUAGCUGGGUGGUAUAGCAUUAGCCUAGCAUGCUGGAGACCCUGUGUUUGCUCCCCAGUACCACAGACAAAAAAAGAAAGGUGUUGCAGGAGAGAAACACCAAAUCUCUUAGCAAAAAUAACUAAUAUAUUUAAGAGGAAAAUACUUUUAAACACCACCACCACAUUAGCUUUACUGGUUAUAUAAGAAGCACUACUUUUUUUUUUUUAGUUAUAGGUGGACACAAUAUCUUUAUUUUAUUUUCAUGUGGUGCUAAGGAUUGAACCCAGUGCCUCUC